rnacentral:rRNA from 1 species
AUUCCAGCUCCAAUAGUGUAUAUUAAAGUUGUUGCAGUUAAAAAGCUCGUAGUUGGAUUUCUGGCGUCGCCGCCCGGUUGGCCUCGAAAGGGGUAUGUACUGGGGCGCGCGUUGCCAUCCUCGGGGGAAGGUCGUCUGGCAUUAGGUUGUCGGACGGUCGACGCUCGUCGUUUACUGUGAACAAAUUAGAGUGUUCAAAGCAGGCUUAGGCCGUUGAAUACAUUAGCAUGGAAUAAUGAGAUAGGACUUUGGUGGUCUAUUUUGUUGGUUUGCACGCCGAAGUAAUGAUUAAUAGGGGCGGUUGGGGGUAUUCGUAUUCAAUUGUCAGAGGUGAAAUUCUUGGAUUUAUGGAAGACGAACUACUGCGAAAGCAUUUACCAAGGAUGUUUUCAUUA